GUCUUCUUGUAAUAAGCGCUGUGCUAAAAUUACAGAAACUAGGCAUCGCCUUGGUUUUUGUGAUCGUGCUAGCAGAGUACACACGGGAAGAAGAGUAAAACGCACCUCCUCUAAAAAGACUUGGGUGGACCUCUUUCUUAAUGUCCAGUGUCCUGUGUCUGACGAUCGGGUGCGACAGUA